UACGUAGGGGGCAAGCGUUAUCCGGAAUUACUGGGUGUAAAGGGUGCGUAGGCGGCCAUGUAAGUCAGCGGUAAAAGCCCGGGGCUCAACCCCGGGACUGCUCUGGAAACUGUUAAACUGGAGUGCAGGAGAGGAAAGCGGAAUUCCUAGUGUAGCGGUGAAAUGCGUAGAUAUUAGGAGGAACACCAGUGGCGAAGGCGGCUUUCUGGACUGAAACUGACACUGAGGCACGAAAGCGUGGGGAGCAA
rnacentral:rRNA from 1 species